GAUGAACGCUGGCGGCGUGCCUAAUACAUGCAAGUCGAGCGAACAGACGAGGAGCUUGCUCCUCUGACGUUAGCGGCGGACGGGUGAGUAACACGUGGAUAACCUACCUAUAAGACUGGGAUAACUUCGGGAAACCGGAGCUAAUACCGGAUAAUAUAUUGAACCGCAUGGUUCAAUAGUGAAAGACGGUUUUGCUGUCACUUAUAGAUGGAUCCGCGCCGCAUUAGCUAGUUGGUAAGGUAACGGCUUACCAAGGCAACGAUGCGUAGCCGACCUGAGAGGGUGAUCGGCCACACUGGAACUGAGACACGGUCCAGACCCCUACGGGAGGCAGCAGUAGGGAAUCUUCCGCAAGGGGCGAAAGCCUGACGGAGAAACGCCGCGUGAGUGAUGAAGGUCUUCGGAUCGUAAACUCUGUUAUUAGGGAAGAACAAAUGUGUAAGUAACUAUGCACGUCUUGACGGUACCUAAUCAGAAAGCCACGGCUAACUACGUG
rnacentral:rRNA from 1 species